rnacentral:rRNA from 1 species
UACGGGGGGAGCAAGCGUUGUUCGGAUUUACUGGGCGUAAAGGGCGCGUAGGCGGCCACCGCAAGUCAAUUGUGAAAUCUCCGGGCUUAACCCAGAAAGGUCAACUGAUACUGCGGGGCUAGAGUGCGGAAGGGGCAACUGGAAUUCUCGGUGUAGCGGUGAAAUGCGUAGAUAUUCGGAAGAACACCAGUGGCGAAGGCGACUUACUGGACACAUAUUGACGCUGAGGUGCGAAAGCGUGGGGAGCAAACAGG